UUCCUUUUUACUCUGACGAGUGAGUGUCAAAAUUUUGUUUCUAUAGAAUUUAUAUAAUAAUGUGAUCACACUAAGUUAUAGUAGCAGCUGUAGAGCUCAGUCAGGUGUAUUUCAAUUCAUUUUUUUCUAUUUAAUGUUCAUGAUAUCGGUAUCAAUAAAUGUAUACAUGACUGAUUGACUGUUCUCGUUAAUCUAAUGUUUUAAGAUCUCGUGAUAUAAGGGUUGGGAUUGUCCAUACGUAUUAGAUUACAAUCAUUUUUAUUUAUAGAAUGAUUACUAUAACACUGCACGGAUGUCAUAUGUCUUAUUUAUUUUCUUAACGUCUUGAAAAUCCAGAGUGAAGAGCAGGACUCUUCAGUCUUAUCGUGGAGGUCAGGCAAAGGGUGAAAGGCCCUUUGUUGUGGGACGUAUUAAUGAUUCCUGGUAAAGCAAUUUUACGCCUUUGGCUUUGGCAGGUUUUGCUCGAAAGGUUGAAGUGUUUUUAAAUGGUCUGUGUCAGCGUAGGUAGUGACACCAGAAAGCUGACGAUUGAGAGGG